rnacentral:rRNA from 1 species
UACGGAGGGUGCAAACGUUGCUCGGAAUCAUUGGGCGUAAAGCGCACGUAGGCGGUUUGUUAAGUCGGGUGUGAAAGCCCCGGGCUCAACCUGGGAAUUGCAUUCGAUACUGGAUAGCUAGAGUUCGGCAGAGGGAAGCGGAAUUUCCGGUGUAGCGGUGAAAUGCGUAGAUAUCGGAAGGAACAUCAGUGGCGAAAGCGGCUUCCUGGACCAGAACUGACGAUCAGGCUCGAAAGCGUGGGGAGCAAACAGG